rnacentral:rRNA from 1 species
CCCUUAGAUGUCCUGGGCUGCACGCGCGCUACACUGAUGUGUCCAGUAAGCACCUAACCUCUUCCGAAAGGAACGGGUAACCUUUGCAAAGCACAUCGUGAUGGGGAUAGAUUAUUGCAAUUAUUAGUCUUGAACGAGGAAUUCCUAGUAAGCACAAGUCAUCAGCUCGUGCUGAUUACGUCCCUGCCCUUUGUACACACCGCCCGUCGCUCCUACCGAUUGAGUGAUUCGGUGAAUAAUUCGGACUGCAGCAUUGCUUGGAUUCCGAGCUUUGCAGCGGAAAGUUUAGUGAACCUCAUCACUUAGAGGAAGGAGAAGUCGUAACA